AGGAGCAGAAGUAUUUGCUCGUCAGAAACGGGUUCUGGCUGUACUCAGUGAGGCCAGGUAUCUUACUAUAACAAGCUUGUCUAAGAUGGAAACUAUCAGCUCUUAAGGAACGGGGAACACUUAAAGAAACUGUUCAGUGGGGUGGUAGAAACAUGGAUAAGAAGAAAAGCAAGCUCGUAGGCAUUGCAGAUGAUGGACAGAAAGAGAUCCGCAUUGAAAGGACAGAUGAAUUUGGCCGAAUAUUAACCCCAAAGGAAGCUUUCCGAUUGCUUUCCCAUAAAUUUCAUGGAAAAGGGCCUGGCAAAAUGAAGCAAGAGAAGCGCAUGAAGCAAUACCAGGAAGAAUUGAAGUUGAAGCAUAUGAAGAAUUCAGACACGCCUUCUUUGUCUGCAUAGAGGAUGAGGGAAGCUCAAGCUCAAAUGAAGACACCUUAUCUUGCGCUUAGUGGUCAUGUUAAGCCUGGUCAAAACAGUGAUCCAAGAAAGAAGUCAGAGCCACCAUUGAGAAGGAUCCUGGGAGCUUAACGCCCAUUGCUUGGAGAUAGGAAGGUCAGUGUCGACCCAAGUCUGUUGCUUUUUCAUCUCUAAAUAUAGAGCGCAAAGAACAAAUAGAGAAAGCAGAGGAGAAAGAACGAAUGAGAAAAGAAAAACAAGAGAGGGAAAAAAGAGAAGCUGAGGGGAAAGCUGGCAAAGAGAAAACCAAAACAGCUAAGGAAAUUGAUCAAGAGAGAAUUGAAAAGGGUGGAGGAGGUGAAAGUGAUACGUCAACUACAGAGAGUAUGCUUGAUGAAAGGAUUGGCCUUGUGGAUGAUUAUCCAUCUGACCAGGAUUCGGAAGAAGAUUUGGCAGCAGAACAUGAUCAUCUAUCGACUGGAGUCCAAGAUAAGGGAAUUACGGCAAGUCAUCAAAAG